rnacentral:rRNA from 1 species
AACGAACGCUGGCGGCAUGCCUAACACAUGCAAGUCGAACGAGACCUUCGGGUCUAGUGGCGCACGGGUGCGUAACGCGUGGGAACCUGCCCUUAGGUUCGGAAUAACAUCCCGAAAGGGGUGCUAAUACCGGAUAAUGUCUUUGGACCAAAGUUUUUUCGCCUUUGGAUGGGCCCGCGUUGGAUUAGCUAGUUGGUAGGGUAAAAGCCUACCAAGGCGACGAUCCAUAGCUGGUCUGAGAGGAUGAUCAGCCACACUGGGACUGAGACACGGCCCAGACUCCUACGGGAGGCAGCAGUGGGGAAUAUUGGACAAUGGGCGAAAGCCUGAUCCAGCAAUGCCGCGUGAGUGAUGAAGGCCUUAGGGUUGUAAAGCUCUUUUACCCGGGAUGAUAAUGACAGUACCGGGAGAAUAAGCUCCGGCUAACUCCGUG